GUGAGGACAAACUAUGGUGUGGACUUUGGUGAAUGUCGGCUCAACGUCUCUGCAGCGAGGGAUUGGCCCGAACCUGAGAGACCCAACACAGUCACACAUGAGAGACCCAACAGGGUCAGUUGGGGAAUGAUCUUCCUCUACUGUGGACUGGGACUGACAGCAGCAGUGGUCAUUGUGUGGUUUCCUCAUCACCUUCAUUUAUUCACUGUCUUGUCUAAGAAACAAAGUCCAGUGGAAGAUUUAAGAAAAGUUACAUCUCAGCAGGAUCACUGUGAACAGUUUGAUCAGCGUAGCAGAAGGUUAACUCAUCCAUAAAACACAUCCUGCCUUCAUGUUGUUCAGUAAGUGUCCAUGAUAUAAGAGUCAGAGGAGAUAAACAAUAAUGGAGUUGAUGAAGAAAUGUUGUUUUUCACCUUUGUUGUCCAUUAUUUUGACAGGACUUCUCAUCAGACUCUGUCACUUAUUAGACAGAUCUGAAAUCUGCUCUGUGUUCACUUCACUGAAAUAAUGCUGAGAAACAUGUGGACCUCAUACACCACGUGUAGCAACUCUGUGCACUUUAUAUUGUUAACAUUUCCAUUUCUAGCUCUAUAUGAUGAAUUAGCCCUUAAUAAGAUAUGACAUUAACACUGACAGUAUAUCCUGUAUAUCCUGUACUGGCCUCCUGCAGGAUGUAAAGAAGAAUCAGGUGAAAUUUAGAGCAGAGAACAUUCACUUUGCGUUGUAUGUUUGUUAUGUUCACAUUUCUGUUUUUUUUUUUAUUAUCAAGAUUUUAUUUAUUGUCUAGAUUUUAAGAACAGAUUUAACUUUCCAUGUGGAACUUUAACCUCUUCUUGUUGUAAUGCUGCAGUUCAAACUGAAAUGAAGUGCUGCUGUUUGAUUUGUGUUUGUCCAUUCAACAUCCUUCACUGUCAGAUCUCUAAAUGUCACAGCUGGUUCAGUAAAUCACUGUAUGGAGAGUUUUCACUCUGUGCCUUCUGAACGUUACAGUACACUGCCUCUCCUAAUGUUCUGUUUAUAAUGUGUACAUACUGUAAAUAAAUCUAUAUUUAUAUGA